rnacentral:rRNA from 1 species
AUUGAACGCUGGCGGCAUGCUUUACACAUGCAAGUCGAACGGCAGCGGGGGCUUCGGCCUGCCGGCGAGUGGCGAACGGGUGAGUAAUGCAUCGGAACGUGCCCAGUCAUGGGGGAUAACUACGCGAAAGCGUAGCUAAUACCGCAUACGCCCUGAGGGGGAAAGUGGGGGAUCUUCGGACCUCACGUGAUUGGAGCGGCCGAUGUCAGAUUAGCUAGUUGGUGAGGUAAAGGCUCACCAAGGCGACGAUCUGUAGCGGGUCUGAGAGGAUGAUCCGCCACACUGGGACUGAGACACGGCCCAGACUCCUACGGGAGGCAGCAGUGGGGAAUUUUGGACAAUGGGCGCAAGCCUGAUCCAGCCAUGCCGCGUGAGUGAAGAAGGCC